UCACAUCUCCAUCCUCACCUUCUUCCGUCUCAACAACCUUGUUUCAAAUAGUAUAGCAAAAACAGUGCACAUGAUGAGGAAGAGAAAACGUUUACCUACAGGAGCCAAGUCCGGCGCCUCUUCAACGCGUCGAAGUUCCAAAGAAUCCGAAAGAAAGCUCAAAUAUACAUAUUGAGCAUUGAUGAUGAUGCGAAAGUGAUGCUGAUGCUGAUGCAAACAAGAAAGUUGAAGACAUGCGUGUGAUGCAUUGUGUCGAUGCUGGAUCAUGAUGACGAGGCUAUGAUGCGAGAAGAGGAAAAAAAGAUGUUGCUCUAGUUUUUUGUUGCAGAUUGAAGUCACUGAGCGUUGAUGGUGAAGAUGAUGCAU